CGCUCGUUCGUCCAUCGGCCAGGACACCCGGCCCUCGACCGGGAGAGGCGGGUUCGAGUCCCGCACGGGCGAC
rnacentral:tRNA from 1 species